rnacentral:rRNA from 1 species
GCACAUUUUAGAGCCUAAUUCAUCUUAAUUAAAAAUUAAAAUUACAUUCAAAUCCAAAUUCAAAAUUCUAAUACUAAAAUUUAUUCUCAAAUAAAUUUAUUGUAAUCCAUCUCUUCUUAUAUAAACUGCACCUUGAUCUGAUUUUCAAUAUAAUCAAAUAUUCUAAUUAUAUAUUUCAAAAAAUAAUUAAUAACGACGAUAUACAAGCAAAAUAAAAGUUUUAUCAAUCGUGGAUUAUCGAUUACAGGACAGAUUCCCCUGAUUGGAAUAAAAAACCGCCAAAUUAUUUGAUUUUCAAGAUCAUAACUAAUAUUUAUCAGGUCUUAAAUAUUUAACAUCUAGAAUAAUGGGGUAUCUAAUCCCAGUUUAACUUCUAGAUUUCUUAACCUCUAAAACAAAAAAAUUACUUAAUUAAUAAAUAAGAUUUCACCCAAUAUCCAUUAAAAUAAAAAUAAAUUAUUAAUAAUUAAGUAUAACCAAAAAAAAAUAAUAGCAUUAUUUGUUUAACCGCA